rnacentral:rRNA from 1 species
UGCAAUCUACCUUUUACAGAGGGAUAGCCCAGAGAAAUUUGGAUUAAUACCUCAUAGCAUAGCAAUCUCGCAUGAGAUCACUAUUAAAGUCACAACGGUAAAAGAUGAGCAUGCGUCCCAUUAGCUAGUUGGUAAGGUAACGGCUUACCAAGGCUACGAUGGGUAGGGGUCCUGAGAGGGAGAUCC